rnacentral:rRNA from 1 species
AGAGUUUGAUCAUGGCUCAGAACGAACGCUGGCGGCAGGCUUAACACAUGCAAGUCGAACGCCGUAGCAAUACGGAGUGGCAGACGGGUGAGUAACACGUGGGAACAUGCCCUUUGGUUCGGAAUAACUCAGGGAAACUUGAGCUAAUACCGGAUACGUCCAAGGCAGCUUGGAGAAAGAUUUAUCGCCAGAGGAUUGGU